rnacentral:lncRNA from 1 species
CCUCUUUUGGCUAUGUUGGCUCUGACAUGCUUCUGUAGAUGGGUUUUUAACAGCUUGGUUGUUCCUUGAAUAUGUAAAAGAACAUAGAUUAAGACUGUUUGCUAUGGUUUGGAUACUUGACCUCUCCACACCACAUAUUGAAAUUUGAUCUCCAAUGUGAGAGGCGGGGCAAAAGGAGGGCAUUUGGGUCAGGAAGACAGAUCACUCAGGAGGAGAUUAAUGCCCUCCCUUGGAGUGAUGUUCUCCUCCAUGGUCCCUGGAAUAUUCUUCUGUCUCCAGGCCCCACAAAACCCAGAACCAUUUUGGAGGACAGCAUGACAGAGGAAGAGGAAUGGCAUCGAGAGAGAUUCCUGACUUGUUUCAUCCUACUGGUUCUUUUCAAAUUAUACCUGUGAUAAUUCAGCUGUUAAAAGAGGAGUUUUGAAGUCCUGUUAAUACGUGACUCGAGGAAAAUCCAAGGUAGGGAGAAAAAUUAAACUCCUCCACCGCUCUGGGGAACUUGGCUUUCUAAGGAGACAUUGUUUUGAAACCAAGAACAAGCCAGAGAUGACCAAGAUUAGGUUUUAUACUUUGCUUCUCAAGUCCUGAUCCUAAUCCAUUAGAGCUAAUUUUGCCUGAUUCCUUUUCUGUAUGCUCUGGGCUUGGGUGGGUUUCUCUUAGAUGGAGGAAGAGUCAGGAAAUGGGUUAUGGGGAGGGAGAAAGGGACAGAUUUCAUUAAACUGCCAAAAAUAGGUUUAUGCCAGUAAUAGCACGUAUGAUGCAAACUUGCUUCUACAUGCAGAAUAAUCAUCUGUAUGGGAAGUUGCUUAUGAAGAUGAUGACAUUUAAGAGUUUGGCAUCCCAGCAGUUUUACCUUUGAUCUUGGAAAACUGCCCAAAGUAACUAAGUCAUUUACAAUCUGCCUUGCUUGCCAUUUGAAUUAUUUUGAGGGUUGAGGGGGCACUUUCUUCUUCAUUGUGCAUUACCGGAGGCCUACUUUCUGAUCUAAAAGAAGCAAAAUAGGUGAGUCUCACACUCUGUGAUUAAAUAACACAAGCUUUGCUCUACAGUGACCUUAUUUAUACUCCAAAUGACAGCCUACAGCAGAUCGCAUUUGACAAAUUUUAAUCCUCUUAAACUGAAGUCUGAAACAGAUACUCGAUAGGCUCUUCAUUGCGCCAGAAGUGACAAUGCUGUGCUCCUCAUGAGGCUCCAGUGGAAGCUGAAUCCUCACAGAGGGGCAGCCAUCUGGGACUCUGGGUGGAGGCCAGCCCACAGCUCUACACCUCCUGUCUCACCUCCACUCAGCUCUGAGGGUGGGCUGAGGGCAGAAGGAAGUGGAGCUGGAGUUGUAGAGACAGCGGUUUAGUGGAGGGCUCUCUGUCCUGGCUAGUUGAGGUGCGUGAUGGGUAGUGGCAGAGAGAGGGGGUAGGGAGUGGGGUGAGGGAAGUCCAGGGAGCCCCGACAGGUGGAGAUGGGGAAGUUGGGAAGAUUGGAAAGAGAGCGUGUAAAGGCAAUGAAACAUUUCCCCUGCUCCUGAAGAAAAACAUGGACGAGGAAGACAUGGAUGUUGAGGCUUUAAAGCUGACUUUAAGUAAGGGAGAUUGUUCCAGAUUAUCUGGGGGCCUGGUUCACUCCACUGAAUGGCCUUCAGAGCAGAACUGAGGCUUCCUGAUGAAGAAAUUCUGACUGUGCAGAGCAACUUUGGCCCGUGUCCAAGAGUUGAAGUCUGUCUUUUCUGACAGCCUGCCCUAUUGAUUUCAGACUUGCCUAUCCAGUCCCCAUAAUCAGGUAAACCAAUUCUGUG